UACGUAGGGUGCAAGCGUUAAUCGGAAUUACUGGGCGUAAAGCGUGCGCAGGCGGUGAUGUAAGACAGAUGUGAAAUCCCCGGGCUCAACCUGGGAACUGCAUUUGUGACUGCAUCGCUGGAGUGCGGCAGAGGGGGGUAGAAUUCCACGUGUAGCAGUGAAAUGCGUAGAGAUGUGGAGGAACACCGAUGGCGAAGGCAGCCCCCUGGGUCAAGACUGACGCUCAUGCACGAAAGCGUGGGGAGCAAACAGG
rnacentral:rRNA from 1 species